GAUGAACGCUGGCGGCGUGCCUAACACAUGCAAGUCGAGCGGAAUGACCAUUUUAAAUCUUCGGAAGCGAAAGGGUCAUUUAGCGGCGGAUGGGUGAGGAACACGUGGGGAACCUGCCGUUCACUGGGGGAUAACAGCUGGAAACGACUGUUAAUACCGCAUAUGCUCACAGCACCGCAUGGUGCAGGGAGGAAAACUCCGGUGGUGAAUGAUGGACCCGCGUCUGAUUAGUUAGUUGGUGAGGUAACGGCCCACCAAGACGAUGAUCAGUAGCCGGCCUGAGAGGGCGACCGGCCACAUUGGGACUGAGACACGGCCCAAACUCCUACGGGAGGCAGCAGUGGGGGAUAUUGCACAAUGGGGGAAACCCUGAUGCAGCGACGCCGCGUGAAGGAAGACGUACUUCGGUAUGUAAACUUCUAUCAGCAGGGAAGAAGAUGACGGUACCUGACUAAGAAGCCCCGGCUAACUACGUG
rnacentral:rRNA from 1 species